GAGCGCCUAAAAACGAACUGAUUAACAGGGAGUCAUCGAAUGCCGCUUACCACCGUUGUACAGCACUGGACGAAGUUUCCUCAGACAGCAUUCCAGUGAGCGAUUCCGUCGUCGGUUGGGCUACAGAGUGUGCAGCUGAUCAAUGAUUCGUCACCAACCUCCAAAACGGACGAACCCCAGGAAAGCAAAGUCUGGGUCUCGUGUGAAGAAAAAGACAAAAUUUGCUGAAUGUUUGCCGUAAAAAGAACCGAGUGGAGUGACAAGUGAGUACGACACCGCAGAAGGUGAUCUUCGUCGUGGGACCGUCUCCGAUCAAAGUGCUUACCAAAAAGGGCGAUUUGAUGCUGCGUCCACCGUUUGAUAUGUGGAGCUUCUGUUAUCACAACGAGUACGACCGGGGAAACGAAAGGGUCAAAGCUGACACCGCGACACCUGUGGAACAUGUUAUGCGUGACCAACAUGCGGGACAACAGUGGCAUUACCGUGUUACCGAAUACGAUAACAAUAAAUAUCGACACAGUUGAAUGAAUCGCUCUUAUCCUGUGAGACUGCGCAUGAAGUACCCAUAAGGCGGAAUACCCAGGAAAAUUGUAAUCUAUUUGGGUAUUCCGUCUUCAUAGUGUAAAAACUAACGCGACGCUUCAACCCAACCCCGGCGAGAAUAAGGGCGAACAUCAGAGAGCCAGUGGAAGAUCCGGGCGAGAAGGAGGAGAAAGAGAGAAAAGGAGAGGAUGGAAAAAACAGGAAAAAAGGGGAGUUCGUUCGAUGACGUUGAAAAGUGCGGACGCAGCAGAUCGCGAAGGGUGUAAAAUCGGGCGGAGAAAGUGAACCCCGGACGAAAGUAGGAUUGGGAAAAUCGGGAAGCAUCCGACAUAACCUGGACGAUUAGCUUCUACCCGUCCACGACCUAGGAAGGGUGAUAUUGUGCAAUUCUGGUGCAACGUGCCACCUCUCGGUGCAUUUUGAGUGCUGUAUUCGUGUGUGUAAUCAGGCCACCUUUAGCUGAUUUCCCAUCCUGUUCACGUGCCUGCAAGGGAAUUCAACUCUACCCGCAAGCGUAUUCACCGGCUAUAGUAACGGUCGUACUCAUCAAGUGAAUGAAAAUUCGGUCGUCUACCGGCCGAAAUCGAGUUCCCCUCAGACCCUGCUAAGCAUCGGACGGAGAUUUCAGCACCACCUAGCACCUUGAUAGCCGUGAACCCCGUCUAACCCCUCGCCCGCUACAAGAUCCAUUCCGGAUACAGCUGCCCGUUUAUCGUCUCCGGCCAUGGAAUCUAUCUGCCGAUACUUCGUUCCUGGCAUGGGACCAAGCCACGCUCCUGCCGACCCUCCAACCUAUUCCAAAUUCGAGCCCCAUACGAAACGGACACUGAAAGUAUUAUCAUCGCCGGCCAUGGUAUCUAUCUGCCGAUACAUCGUUUCUGGCAUGGGACCAAGUCAAGCUUCUGCCGAGUCUCCAACCAAAUUCGAACCCCAUACGAAACGGACACCGAAAGUCUUAUCAUAGGACCACUCGCCCGGCGGAUUUCCGCCCAACCGCAAGGUAGGGAAAAGCAUCGAUCGGCCGCAACGGUACUAACAUGAAACUAACCACUAAAAUCAAAAAAACGAAGAGAACCCAUUUAAAAUAAAUAAGUAAAAUGUA